UGUGAAGAUAGCCAAUCUGCCUAUAUUUC
rnacentral:piRNA from 1 species